UUGUCAAAGCCCAAAUAAUAAGACCCAAAAUACUUUACUCCUUUCCUACUCUUUCAAUUCACGUAAAAGGGAAAAAAAAAAAAAAAACUCUCAUCAUUCACGUGAACCAGAAAACCCUCAUACCCUCCUCCCUCACGCUUCUUCCCCUUGCUGCAACCACCGUACCUCUCAGCCGCCACCACCGCCGGCAGCUUUCUCCCUCCGUCGUCCGCAGCCUUACCGCCGCCGCCGCACCACCGCAGCGUCGCCGCCCAGCCUCCAUCGCUGCGCCGCCGCGUUCUUCGCCACACCAACACCCUCCUUGUUCUCCUUCCUGCUCGCCGGAACUCCCCUUCGUUCUUCCUAUUCCGCAAGCAGAAUUCAGUCGCAGCUACCACCGCUGACCCACCAGCCAGCGCGCCCCGCCACCGUCGACUGUGCCCUUCUGCCGCCGUCUCUGACCGCCGGCCAGCCACUCUUCAUUCUCUCUUUUGGCGGAGAAUUCUUUGUGGGCGACUUUUGAAUUCGUUAAAGUGGCCUAUCAGUUUGUUUAAACAAGUCUCUAAGGAUCAAUAAGCAUUGUCCAUCUGCAGGUUUGAAGAUGUUGCAUCAUUGGGAUCGGGAAUAGAGAGCUUGUAUUUAGUUUUGAUUUGCUAAGUUAACUUGGGUUUGUUAAUUGGGACUUUAAACUUGUCGUACUAUUUAUAUUUCCUUAUUUUCGUUGGAUGAUUUUUGGGAUUAAACCUGUAAUCGAUUAUUUAUAAACCUAAAGUUAGUUUUAUGUUUUC